rnacentral:tRNA from 1 species
GCCGGGGUAGCCUAGCCUGGAAUGGGCGCCAGACUCAUAAUCUGGAGGUCGCGGGCUCAAAUCCCGCCCCCGGCA